GAUGAACGCUGGCGGCGUGCCUAAUACAUGCAAGUCGAGCGAACAGACGAGGAGCUUGCUCCUCUGACGUUAGCGGCGGACGGGUGAGUAACACGUGGAUAACCUACCUAUAAGACUGGGAUAACUUCGGGAAACCGGAGCUAAUACCGGAUAAUAUAUUGAACCGCAUGGUUCAAUAGUGAAAGACGGUUUUGCUGUCACUUAUAGAUGGAUCCGCGCCGCAUUAGCUAGUUGGUAAGGUAACGGCUUACCAAGGCAACGAUGCGUAGCCGACCUGAGAGGGUGAUCAGCCACACUAGCACUGAGACACGGUCCAGACUCAGACGGGAGGCAGCAGUAGGGAAUCUUCCGCAAAGGGCGAAAGCCUGACGGAGCAACGCCGGGUGAGUGAUGAAGGUCUUCGGAUCGUAAAACUCUGUUAUUAGGGAAGAACAAAUGUGUAAGUAACUAUGCACGUCUUGACGGUACCUAAUCAGAAAGCCACGGCUAACUACGUG
rnacentral:rRNA from 1 species